rnacentral:rRNA from 1 species
UACAACAUAGCAUUAAUGCAUCAGAUCUCAUUAAAACUCCGCAGUUAAGUGUGCUCAUGCUAGAGUAGUAUUAGGAUGGGUGACUACCCAAGAAGUCCUAGUGUUUUAC